UACAUAAAGUUUUUGUUAUUGACCUAAAAUAAUGGCUUUUACUUUGGAUAUUCCAGCCUUGUACCAAAAUAAAAGCAAAGCAUUUGGAAUUAAAAGUAUCUUUAUUUACCUUAUUACAAACAGAAAUGAUGAGUCUUGUUUAAUUUGGUCAUUUGGUGCUUUUUUGACCUUUGUUUCUAACCAACAUUAAGCAUGACUGUUUUUAGUUU
rnacentral:lncRNA from 1 species